AUACCUUUCUCGGCCUUUUGGCUAAGAUCAAGUGUAGUAUCUGUUCUUAUCAGUUUAAUAUCUGAUAUGUGGGCCAUGUGUCCACUAUGAUAUUAAAUUUAUUUUUUGUGGGGGAGGAUACCAUAUUAGUGGCUUGCCACUAGGGUUCUCUUGUGUCGCCCAAGCUUUGCACUACAGCUAGGGCCAGGCACACCCCAA
rnacentral:snRNA from 1 species